AUUCUACCGAGUUCUGCUUUUCUGGGAUCGGUUUGGGAAAAUCACGUGAAAUUCUAAAAAGCUUCUCUCCGUGUUUUCUAGUUGUUUUUUCAGCCUUGGUCUAAGUUUCGUGUAGAAAAGGGCAUAGAAUUAUUAGAACAGACAAACUAGGCUUUCUCGGGAGAGAUGGAAGAAAAGCCACGGACUAAAGCACUGAAGUGCCGUUCCCCAGGGAGCCCCUGCCCAGCACUGAACUUGCUUGUGCACUUGCUGUCCCUUUGCCAGCGGAGCCGAAGCGUCGGGUGCGGGUGCCGGGGGGAUGGAGCUGCCAAGGACAAACUGGGAGGGUGUUUGCGAAGGAAGGGGGUAGAAGGAGCUCUUGACGUGCUUUUUUUACUUCUUCAUCCCACAGAAUUGCCACGAGAGGAAAUACUUCAGAGGGGCUUCCCUCCAGAUAAGCCCUGAAUGUGCCAGGAGGUUUCAGCCGGGAGAAAGGAGCUGUGGAAGAAAAGCAGCCUAAAAAUAGCCAGCGGGGAUCAUCAGGUUUUCCAGCCAAGAAAAACCAGGAGGGAGAUGAGGGAAUCGGGUUCCAAUUCCUAAAGAUUUGGUGGGUGUAGGAAUGAUUUCUGUGUGUUUUCCAGUCCCUUUUGAUUCCUGGGAUGAUUUUAAAAUGAUGGCUAAAUUGGAGAUGUUGUUUUUGAGAGGAAAUGAUGCCAAAUAAAUGCAAAGUUUGGGGUCAGUUUU